rnacentral:tRNA from 1 species
GCCUGAGUGGCUCAGUUGGUUGAGCGUCUGACUUCAGCGCAGGUCAUGAUCUCACAGUUCAUGGGUUCAAGCCCCGUGUUGGGCU